GAUGAACGCUGGCGGCGUGCCUAAUACAUGCAAGUCGAGCGAAUGGAUUAAGAGCUUGCUCUUAUGAAGUUAGCGGCGGACGGGUGAGUAACACGUGGGUAACCUGCCCAUAAGACUGGGAUAACUCCGGGAAACCGGGGCUAAUACCGGAUAACAUUUUGAACCGCAUGGUUCGAAAUUGAAAGGCGGCUUCGGCUGUCACUUAUGGAUGGACCCGCGUCGCACUAGCUAGUUGGUGAGGUAACGGCUCACCAAGGCAACGAUGCGUAGCCGACCUGAGAGGGUGAUCGGCCACACUGGGACUGAGACACGGCCCAGACUCCUACGGGAGGCAGCAGUAGGGAAUCUUCCGCAAUGGACGAAAGUCUGACGGAGCAACGCCGCGUGAGUGAUGAAGGCUUUCGGGUCGUAAAACUCUGUUGUUAGGGAAGAACAAGUGCUAGUUGAAUGAGCUGACACCUUGACGGUACCUAACCAGAAAGCCACGGCUAACUACGUGCCAGCCGCCGCGGUAA
rnacentral:rRNA from 1 species